GGCGUGAAACGACACUAUCGAUCCUUCGGAUGCGUUAAUGGGCGUCGAGCGGCGGACGGGUGAGUAAUGCCUAGGAAAUUGCCUUGAUGUGGGGGAUAACCAUUGGAAACGAUGGCUAAUACCGCAUAAUGCCUACGGGCCAAAGAGGGGGAUCUUCGGACCUCUCGCGUCAAGAUAUGCCUAGGUGGGAUUAGCUAGUUGGUGAGGUAAUGGCUCACCAAGGCGACGAUCCCUAGCUGGUCUGAGAGGAUGAUCAGCCACACUGGAACUGAGACACGGUCCAGACUCCUACGGGAGGCAGCAGUGGGGAAUAUUGCACAAUGGGCGAAAGCCUGAUGCAGCCAUGCCGCGUGUAUGAAGAAGGCCUUCGGGUUGUAAAGUACUUUCAGUUGUGAGGAAGGGUGUGUAGUUAAUAGCUGCGCAUCUUGACGUUAGCAACAGAAGAAGCACCGGCUAACUCCGUGCCAGCAGCCGCGGUAAUACGGAGGGUGCGAGCGUUAAUCGGAAUUACUGGGCGUAAAGCGCAUGCAGGUGGUUCAUUAAGUCAGAUGUGAAAGCCCGGGGAUCGACCUCGGAACUGCAUUUGAAACUGUGGAACUAAACUGCUGUAUAGGGUUGAAA
rnacentral:rRNA from 1 species